GUUCCACCUUGCCUGUGAAGAGCAACCAGCCUCCAGCCCAGUCUCCACCAUUGUUUGCUGUGGGAGUCAUCUUGGGUGGAAUAAAUUUCAUUUGGAUGUGGAAGCUUUCUCCAGGUCACAGGAGUCCAAGAAAGGCAGUGCCAGCAGCCCACUGGAUAUAUGAAGACCCUCCUGCCCCGCAGAAAAGGAUAGACACAGACUAAGACACUGAGAACUUUGGAAGCCUCUGUCAACCCUGCUUUUCCAUGAGAUAUUUUUAAAGGAGAGGUAAUUAAGUUUUUAUGUAUUAUUGGCAUCCAAGCUGAAGUUGACAGACACCAGAUAUCUUUCUGACUCUACUAGCAAAAUCAAGAAGGCCAUUUCCCACCCUUUCCUCCUGCUCAUAAGUAUGAGUAUGUUUGGCUGACUGCUAAUUUCAGAGCCCUGGAAGCAAAUACUAUUUAUAAUUCUCCUUUUAUUGUCUGCCUUCCCAUUUGGAUCAAAACUAACUAAGGCAAGACAAGCCGCAUUUAUUUGUGUCAAUGCUGUAUCCCUGGCAGAUCAAAAUUGUUCAAAGUGAAUGAUCCCCCUGGAAAGCUGAAUAAACCAUAUUAGUUGCUACUUAGAGAAGAGGUG
ensembl:lncRNA